GACGAACGCUGGCGGCGUGCUUAACACAUGCAAGUCGAACGGAAAGGCCCUGCUUUUGUGGGGUGCUCGAGUGGCGAACGGGUGAGUAACACGUGAGUAACCUGCCCUUGACUUUGGGAUAACUUCAGGAAACUGGGGCUAAUACCGGAUAGGAGCUCCUGCUGCAUGGUGGGGGUUGGAAAGUUUCGGCGGUUGGGGAUGGACUCGCGGCUUAUCAGCUUGUUGGUGGGGUAGUGGCUUACCAAGGCUUUGACGGGUAGCCGGCCUGAGAGGGUGACCGGCCACAUGGGGACUGAGAUACGGCCCAGACUCCUACGGGAGGCAGCAGUGGGGAAUAUUGCACAAUGGGCGGAAGCCUGAGGCAGCAACGCCGCGUGCGGGAUGACGGCCUUCGGGUCGUAAACCGCUUUCGCCGGUGACGAAGCGUGAGUGACGGUAAUGGGUAAAGAAGCACCGGCUAACUACGUG
rnacentral:rRNA from 1 species